GCGAAGGUGGCGGAAUUGCUAGACGCGCUAGCUUCAGGUGUUAGUGUUCUUACGGACGUGGGGGUUCAAGUCCCCCCCCUCGCACCA
rnacentral:tRNA from 1 species